GAAGAAUUUGGGGGCAGCAUGAAGAGGAUUCUAGCCCUGGUUAGGUUUUAUUUUUCAAGGCAGUGAUCUUAACCAGACCCGCAGUCACAGCACUGAUGCUGCGCAGGAGGAAACCUAGUAGUACAGCACUUGGCAGUUCACAAGGCCAUAGCCUGUGUAUCCUGUAAUGGAUGGGAACUGUCCUACACAUCGUGCUUUAUGGAGAUACAAUGGGAUGAGGAGAGUCUCUGAUAAACUUGAAGAUCUCUAAGCAAGCCCAGAGCCAGAAAUCUAGUCAUACUGAACACCUGUAGCUCACAGACAACAGUGAUGGACAUUGCUUGAUGAGAUAGAGUGAAUAAAGAUCCCAGACUCAGCCCUGAGACUGCAGCAUGUUCCAACCAGGGAUGCUUCAACCAGAGCUGCUCUUGAUAGAGAAGUGGAAAGGCUCUGUAUACCUGAGGGAUUGCAUCAUCUGCCUGUAUUUCACAGCUUGUGCAGCAGGGGAAAGGAAUGGAAUAAAUCAACAUGUUGCUUUUAUCAAAUAAACCUUUGUGAUGUGGCCUGGUCAGAAGAAUUUUAUAUCCCCUUUAUCUAAGCCGUCUGUAAAGAAUGUCUCAUCCCCUUUUUCCUCUCAAGGAUUUUUUUUUAAGGCAUUCCAAAUCACUUUAUCAGAAUGAGUGAUAAAGGAAGAAGCUGUUUUCAACAGUUUGCAAGACUUAGAGCUCCCCGUCUCAAAGCUGAGAGUAUCUAACAUCUUACAUGAAGUAAUUUGAAAGCCUCCUCAAUCUGAAAUUGCAGCAGGGCCUCUCUUUCUUCUGUGAAUGCUGUCCCAAACACAGCCUUUCUUCCUGUUCUGCAAUGUGGACUCAGAGAAGGGAGAAAUUCUGCCCCAGUGCUACUCAGAGCUGAGGGGGUGAGAGGGGUGUAAGAAGCUAUUUGUGGUAGCAAGGGCAGCUGUUUGAGAAAAAUCUAGGGGCUGGAGGUCAGGUUUUAGCAGGCAAAAGUAUUUUCAGCUCUUCUGAUGUCAUUAAGCAUGGAGCAGUGACUACUUUUUCAGAUUUCACCAAGGAUUGCCUCAUCCUACUCAUAUCUUACUGCUGUUUUUCAGUAUUUCCUUAAAAUGUGGUUGGAUUUUUUUUCUUCCAGGAAGAAAAUGUACAGUAAAAAGGAAAGUUCUGCUUGACUUUUGAGACUGCCCUGACUGCUGUCAGGAUACAUACUGUAUAUUAAAUGCAGUUAGAUCCUUUUGAUCCCUUUUUAGUGAAAUCUCUCAUUGGCUUUCCAGAUGACAAGAUCAGGGAUAAGGUUUGUUGUUGCUGGGUUUUGUUCCCCCUUUAGGCAGACUGAUGCAUAUUAGCUAAAGAUCCUAAAUCAAAAAGCAAAAAACUCCUGUCAAUCCUUUAAGCUUGAAAAUGCAUUCAGAUAUUGGAGGAUGAGUAGGUAUGGAAUUGUUUAAUCUCUCAGAGCUGCUUCUGGAUCAAACAGUUCCUUCUACAGACCUUACAAGAGGCUGUAUUUUAAAGAGAGUUUGCUGUAGUGCUUCUGCCCUCACCCAGAUCACUGCUGAAGCUAAGUGGGGGUUAAAGUGGGGGGACCUAUGGAAGGUCACAUCCAUGGCAAAGGGGAAUGAAACCACUGUCUGCCACGAGACAGAUACCCGUUGUUGCUGCUAAGUGCUAGAUGGCUGUCUGCUGUGCUGCUGGGCAGUAAUGGAAGGAACCCGGCUAUGCAAAUGGUCAGCAUCUUUUUUUUUUUUCUCUUCAUUAUAGCCCAGGAGAUCUUAAAGGGCAAUGAAAAUUGAACUGCACUUAUGACUGAGAAAAAAUGGGAUUAGAAAAAGCUUCUGUGGAAAUCCCUUUCUUUGAGUGGUUCUAGGUACUGAAGGAUUCAACUCUGAGUUGCUCAUAUUCUUGUCAACGUUUGAUAACCCAUUAACAUCUGCAGGCUGAGGUUUGGAAGUCUCUGUUCUGGUUUUGGUUUUGAUUUACUAAGGAAAUUGCUUUGUGUUGUAAUUGGA